UUGAUCUCAAAUCAGGCAGGACUACCCGCUGAACUUAAGCAUAUCAAUAAGCGGAGGAAAAGAAACUAACAAGGAUUCCCUUAGUAACUGCGAGUGAAGUGGGAAAAGCUCAAAUUUGAAAUCUGGCGGUUCUUUACUGUCCGAGUUGUAGUCUAGAGAAGUGCUACCUGUG
rnacentral:rRNA from 1 species